CAGAUUGUGAUGAAGCAAAGUAUAAUCCAACACUUGAUCUGAGAUAUCUUAGUGAUUGUAAACAAUUCUUUAUGCUUCUGAAUCUAC